rnacentral:rRNA from 1 species
GACGGAAGGUGCAAGCGUUGCUCGGAAUCACUGGGCGUAAGGGGUGCGUAGGCGGCCUGGUAAGUCUGGCGUGAAAGCCCAGGGCUCAGCCCUGGAAGUGCGCUAGAAACUGCGAGGCUCGAGUGCCGGAGGGGAGAGUGGAAUUCCUGGUGUAGCGGUGAAAUGCGUAGAUAUCUGGAGGAACACCGGUGGCGAAGGCGGCAUCCUGGACCAACACUGACGCUGAGGAGCGAAAGCCAGGGGAGCAAACGGG